rnacentral:rRNA from 1 species
AAGCAAAAAGCGUAAGCAAUUGUGGAUUAUAUACAAGUGAGAAUGCUGGCAUGAGUAGCGAAAAGGGAUGUGAGAAUCAUCCCCGUCGAAAGCCCAAGGAUUCCUGAGCAAGGCUCGUCCUCUCAGGGUAAGUCGGGACCUAAGGCGAGGCCGAAAGGCGUAGUCGAUGGACAACAGGUAGAAAUUCCUGUACUACAAGAUUGUGAUUGAGAGAAGUACUGACGCAGAAGGAAAAGUCGAGCGUGUGAAUGGUAGAACACGUCCAAGUAACAAGCCAGAAUAUACAGGCAAAUCCGUAUAUUCGUUAACGUAAGUUAUCAUGGGGAGCAGAAAGAUGCGAAGCGACAGAUUCAAACUGCCAAGAAAAGGUGCUAUCGAAUAAUCUUGUACCCGUACCGCAAACCGACACAGGUAGGCAAGAAGAGAAUUCUAAGACGCGCGGAAGAACCUUUGUUAAGGAACUCGGCAAAAUAAUCCCGUAAGUUAGCGAGAAGGGAUGCCUAAGAAAUUAGGUCGCAGAGAAUAGGCCCAAGCGACUGUUUACCAAAAACACAAGUAUCUGCUAAAUCGAAAGAUGAAGUAUAGGUGCUGACACCUGCCCGGUGCUGGAAGGUCAAGGGGACUUGUUAGAGCAAUCGAAGCAACGAACUUAAGCCCCAGUAAACGGCGGCCGUAACUAUAACGGUCCUAAGGUAGCGAAAUUCCUUGUCGGGUAAGUUCCGACCCGCACGAAAGGUGUAACGAUUUGGGCGCUGUCUCAACAAAGGAUCCGGUGAAAUUGUAGUAGUCGUGAAGAUGCGACUUACCCACGGUAGGACGGAAAGACCCCGUGGAGCUUUACUGCAGGUUGACAUUGAAUUUUGGGAUUAAAUGUACAGGAUAGGUGGGAGACUAAGAAGCAAGCUCGCCAGAGUUUGCAGAGUCACUGUUGGGAUACCACCCUUUUAAUUCUAAAGUUCUAACUAGUUGCCAUGAAACUGGUAAUAGGACACUGUCAGUCGGGCAGUUUGACUGGGGCGGUCGCCUCCAAAAAAGUAACGGAGGCGUUCAAAGGUUCGCUCAGAAUGGUUGGAAAUCAUUCAAAGAGUACAAAGGCAAAAGCGAGCUUAACUGCGAGACAUACAGGUCGAGCAGAGACGAAAGUCGGACUUAGUGAUCCGGUGGUACCGAGUGGAAGGGCCAUCGCUCAACGGAUAAAAGCUACCCCGGGGAUAACAGGCUUAUCUCCCCCAAGAGUCCACAUCGACG